GCGCCCUCCCUCCCCAUCCCACCCCCCUCCUUCCCCUCGAUCCAGCCCUCAUGACCCUGACCCUGGCCGCGGCUGCAGGCGGCUCGCCCAGGCGCGCAGCCCUCGGUCCCACCUCCCUCUGGCUCGGGCCUGAGCAUUCCGCAGCCUCGGCCGGCCCGGGCCUCUUCUCCGCUGCUCUGCUCCCCCAAGGACUUUCUGUGCCCCACUCCUACCCAGGCAGGGCUGCCCUGUCUUGGGUCCUUUACGGGGGACCAUUCCCCAGCGUCCCUGAGACACUCAUCCUGGGAUUUCUUCCCCUAAAUACAGACAUUCUCAAACCAAAUGAGACCUCGAGGUCCCUACACCUGAUCCUGCCUCCCACUCCCUGAGCCACACUGAGAAGGAAGGUCUCUCCUUUAGGGAGGACUCUGGCGCCUGCAACCUUGAUCGACAGCAAAGAUGUCCAGUGUGUAUCCUGCAUCUGCCUUUCCUGACCAUUCCUCGUGCCCCAUUCUCCGUGGGAUAGAUUCUCAUGGGGAGUGGGGGAGCCUUCGGGUGUGGCAGAACGGCAUGAUGGAAUUCAUAAGGUGAGCAGAAACUCAAGGAAAACUGUCCAAAUACCGGCUCGACUCCUGGGUACGCUGGAGCAAGGAUGAAGAAGCUCUGAGACUUUGCACGUCAGUAACCACCAACACCAUGCCUCUGGUUCCCACACCGCAGGGAUCACCUGAAGUAGAGGAUCUCAUGUAACUUCAUGGCUCUCUCUGAACUUCUGUUUCUUUAUCUGUAAGAUGGGGAUCAGAAACUCUGUCUUAAGGAGUUGUUUUGAGGAUUAAAUGAAGAAACAUGAAAAGCAACUGAUGUCCAGUGCCGAGCACAAGGCUUUUGUCCCCUACUUACGCACCCCUAACCAGGAUUCUCCACUUAGAGCUGAGAAUUUCCUUUACAGUGUGCUCUGGGGGCACCAGAAAGAAACUCGGCUUCCAUUAACCACUUCCAGGUGUCUGAAAUCCCACCACUACUUAGGGUACUUCACUCCCCAGCUGUGAGCUACUCAGCCGCCCUUAAGCAGAAAGAGAUGGGAUCCGUGUUCCCUGAAAGCUUUAGAUGGGGUUAGAGAGAAAAGAUGCACCCAAAGAUGUUUCCCAGCCCAAGAACUUGAAGGAAACCAAAAUAUUUCACCCCAAAAAAUACUUCUUUGACACAUUUCAAGGUGGCUGUUCAGAAUGGUUGGAAAUAGAAUAACCAAAAAGCUGUCUUUUUGUGGAGAGAUUUGCAUCUGUAGAGGAAAUCUGCAUUGAUGUAGCCAGGCUUUCUCCGAGGCUCUCCCUUGUCUAACUCUAGGAAAGAUUAACUGAGAGGCUGACACCUUUACAGAUCUGAAAGAAACAUUUACCCUCAGUUCUUUCUGAGGGCUGCUACCUGUGAGGUGUCAUCUACCUAACAAGACUCCCUUUGCCAACCAGGCCUCCUCUUCCCUCCCUUCCAUAACCUGUCUUGCCACUAUCUGAGCCCCCAUAUUUGUAUAAACUCAAGAUGGUGGAUAAGCUUCUGUAUCCCACUGAGGGGUUGGGGUAAUCACUUUGUGGUUCUCUCUCAUGUAUGUUAAUAAAUAUUUCCUGUUAAAGCCGAGGCAGGAGGAUUGCUUGAGCCCAGGAGUUCAAAGGUGCAGUGAGCUCUGAUCAUGAAACUGUACUUCAGCCUCUCUGGACAGAGCAAGACCUUGUCUCUAAAAUAUAAAUGAAUCAAUUUAUUCUAUUAAUCUGCCUUUCAUCAGUUGAUUUUUCAGCAAACCUUCAGAAGGCAAAGGGGAAGUUUUCCUUUGGCCCCCACAGACCCAUGCUGGGGGACGUCCUGAGGAUGGGUGAGGAGAGAAAUCUUCCAGGACAAGGGAAGGCAACCCAGUUAGGAGGCAUCUGGGACUUUCCUGGCCAACUCUGAAGACAUCAAGUUGAACCAUGACCCGGAUUCGGUCUUGGAAGCAGAUGAGAGGGUAAAGAGUUGAAGCCAGGUCUACACUCUGAUUCCUCCAAGUCACCGAGUGGUUUCAUGUGAAAGGGGUCUGGGCAGGAGUGAGCCGAGGUUAGCGGUGGUAUUUCAGUGAUUUGGCAAAUGUGCACAGAUGGCUCAUAAACCGCCCCCCCACAUGCCACCGACAGGAAACUACCACUUGACAACACGCCUGCUUCUGCCGCAUCACAGACUUAGCAGAGUCUGUUCAGAAUCUCCUUGCAUUUCCAAAUGAAGCUUGGAUGUUAGCAGAUGUUAAACCCAAGAACAGGUACACCUGGGCUCUAAAUUCAUCUUCUGACUGAAGUUGAAGAUAAAACCUGAUACCAGUUUGGAGUAGAAAGAGACACAGUAUUGUAAUCAUAAAUGACAUUUGACCUUAAAACAGUAACACAGCAAAUUUCUAAUUAAAGUGGAGCAUGUCCUGUCUUGACUGAGGCACCAAGACGAUUUGUUGCAGAUUGUUGCUGGCAGUGUGCAGUCCCCAAGACCAAAUCACCAAGAGGCACAGUGGUAAGAGUGGUCAGCAAGGAGCGGAGCGCCUUCCUCCCACCAGCAGGUGACUCACCACAUCGUGUCCUCCUUGGCGUAAGAGGCGCCCUAAAGGUUUCUCCGUUCCAGUUAUCCUAACUGGAAUACUGUUCCUGAAAAAAGCGUAUAUUUAAGGCCCUGCUAGCUAUAAGCAAUCCUUCAAGGAAGAGAAUUAUAAACAACCUUUCUUCCAAGUUUUUGUUCUUUGCCUCACUUAUAUGCCGAUUUAAAUCGUUCUCUAAGAAAAGGUGGUAUUUCCUCUCACUGCAGGUUCUACCAGACUCUCAUCACCUGCUUGCCAAGCAGCAGCCAAGGGAAAACAGUUUGAAAUUUACUGCUAACAAUUGGUUCACAUACAUACCGGGUACGGGGGACUCUUGCCUGUAGUCCCAGCUACUCAGGAGGCUGAGGCUGGAGGAAUGCUUGAGUCCAGGAGUUCAAGUCC
rnacentral:lncRNA from 10 species